GUUUCGGAUCUCAGAUCAAGCAAGAGGACCCGCUGA
rnacentral:rRNA from 1 species